UUUUGGACAAUGGGCGCAAGCCUGAUCCAGCAAUGCCGCGUGCGGGAAGAAGGCCUUCGGGUUGUAAACCGCUUUUGUACGGAACGAAAAGGCUCUGGCUAAUACCUGGGGCUGAUGACGGUACCGUAAGAAUAAGCACCGGCUAACUACGUGCCAGCAGCCGCGGUAAUA
rnacentral:rRNA from 1 species